GAUCGUAUCGGAUGUCAGAAAAAAAUUAAAUAGAUUAGCAAUUAAAAUUUUUAUAAUAUUUAUAAAAUCUCACCUUGAUUCACAGUAAAAGAUUUGAUCAAGAUAGAAGAAGUUUCUCAAUCGAUUUGGUUCGCGAGAUCCAGAUGCACAGAUCCUCUACUUCACAUGCAUGCCAAGCAACAUAGAAGAAAGAGAUGAAGCUCUUCUUCAGAAGGGAAGGAGA
rnacentral:lncRNA from 1 species